rnacentral:rRNA from 1 species
GAUGAACGCUGGCGGCGUGCUUAACACAUGCAAGUCGAACGGAAAGGCCCAAGCUUGCUUGGGUACUCGAGUGGCGAACGGGUGAGUAACACGUGGGUGAUCUGCCCUGCACUUCGGGAUAAGCCUGGGAAACUGGGUCUAAUACCGGAUAGGACCACUUCUUGGAUGUUGUGGUGGAAAGUUUUUUCGGUGUGGGAUGAGCUCGCGGCCUAUCAGCUUGUUGGUGGGGUAAUGGCCUACCAAGGCGUCGACGGGUAGCCGGCCUGAGAGGGUGUACGGCCACAUUGGGACUGAGAUACGGCCCAGACGCCUACGGGAGGCAGCAGUGGGGAAUAUUGCACAAUGGGCGCAAGCCUGAUGCAGCGACGCCGCGUGGGGGAUGACGGCCUUCGGGUUGUAAACUCCUUUCGCUAGGGACGAAGCGUUUUUGUGACGGUACCUGGAGAAGAAGCACCGGCUAACUACGUG